rnacentral:rRNA from 1 species
GACGAACGCUGGCGGCGUGCCUAAUACAUGCAAGUAGAACGCUGAAGAGAGGAGCUUGCUCUUCUUGGAUGAGUUGCGAACGGGUGAGUAACGCGUAGGUAACCUGCCUUGUAGCGGGGGAUAACUAUUGGAGACGAUAGCUAAUACCGCAUAACAAUGGAUGACACAUGUCAUUUAUUUGAAAGGGGCAAUUGCUCCACUACAAGAUGGACCUGCGUUGUAUUAGCUAGUAGGUGAGGUAACGGCUCACCUAGGCGACGAUACAUAGCCGACCUGAGAGGGUGAUCGGCCACACUGGGACUGAGACACGGCCCAGACUCCUACGGGAGGCAGCAGUAGGGAAUCUUCGGCAAUGGGGGCAACCCUGACCGAGCAACGCCGCGUGAGUGAAGAAGGUUUUCGGAUCGUAAAGCUCUGUUGUAAGUCAAGAACGAGUGUGAGAGUGGAAAGUUCACACUGUGACGGUAGCUUACCAGAAAGGGACGGCUAACUACGUG